CUGGGAGCUGAGACAGGAUAUGAGGGCUGAGAAAAUGAAUUAAAAUAGCAAAUCAAGCCCGGAGGGAGCAACUCUGAGUGACAGAGAAACCAAGGGGACAGGAGCAGAUGAAAGCUCUGAACCAAGUGUGGCCGGAGCAGGGUGCUGAGGAGGCCAUUCCUGCUUUCUGUUGCCCUCUGUUAGAUCCCUUGAAUCGAGAUGGGGCCUUCUAAUUAUUCUCUCUGGAUCCAUUAUUCAGUACUAUCUAGACAGCAGGAAAGAGAGUUGCCUUCACCAGCAAUAUAGUAUCACACCAGCAGCUAUACUUCAUCCCGCUUCACUUAGACAAGUUCUAAAAGGUCCUUAGAUAAAAAUGGCUGGAGAAGGCUUCAUCAGUAACGAGGCCUGGAGCUGUUAACGGAAGGAAGAUAACCCACACAUGGUCUGAUCCACAGAGUCACCACCUCAGUGUUUUCUCCAAUAUACCACAGCAGCUGCUGGA
rnacentral:lncRNA from 1 species